CACUAUGUUUCUUUCACCAACCGUUCCUAUUACGGGAAAAAAUAGAAAAAGAAAGCUAAAGAAAAACAUCCCGAUCUCCAUUUUUCUCUGUGAGAAAGGCGAUUACAAUGGAGAAAAUCGGAUUCAUGUUCUUUAACGGGAUAUCUGAUUCCGUGGGCCAAGAGUAUAUCGGCAUGUUUCCUUUACGAAUCUGGAACCAAACAUGCAGAAGAUGAGUGGUUGAUUUGUGUGGUCAGAAAAUAGAAAAAUUAAAAAGUCGAUCUUCUUUUUGCUCGGGUUAAAUAGGAGGUACUUUUUGGUGAGAAUUCUCAUGUCCACCAAAUGAAAUAUAUUGAAGGUGGACUAAAACACCUACGUGGAGUGAGAAAGGAAUUCGGAAACAUGUCUGCAAAAAUAUGAUAGAAGAAAAAAAGAUAUGCGGUCGAUGAUGCAAAGACACUUUCAGUAGAGAGCUAAGUCACUAAAGUGGUGAGACGUGAGGUAACAGAAAUGAAGUUUCUCGUCAGCGGUGAACGAAACCCAAAAAAUCAAGAUCUUCGUUUAUAUUUGAUAAAUUAAGUGAAUUUAUUGGUGGAAAACGAAGAGAUUACAUGCGAUUUGAUUGACGAAACUUCGAAGCCAGAACUGAGAAACACAAGGUAUGGUAAACAGUCGAUUGUUAUGAUUUAUGAACAAAGUCCAAGUGUUUUUUAAUGGUUGCCUAACAAUGUUGUUCUCUUGCCGCUACAAUUCGUUAGUUUUUCAAUGCGUCUUCGGAUCUAUUGAUGCAAGUUUUAUUAUGAAGAUAAUGCUGCACUUAAUUAUUGUUUUUUGACAAUGGAAGAUGGGUAAUGUUGGCGGAGAGUUCGUUCUUGAUCAAUGUAAGAAGGAGAAUUCUUUUUUUUUUUGAAGACGAUAUAAGAUAUGAGGAUUUUCUCUGCAUGGUUUGUGAAGAUUACAAUAUUAGUGAGAUGAAUGCGGUCGAGUUCUCUUAUAUGUUGCCUAAACGUAUAAUGGAGCAAACGGCUACCAAUGCCUUUCCGAUUUCCUUGAGCAGCGACAUACAACUAGCAAGCUUCAUCACAUUGCUCAAGACUGACGUUAUGUGUAUUUAUGUCUCAUUGACUGCAAACAAAGGUCGUCGUGAUGUGAAUAGAAAUCAAAAGCUUGCUGUCGGAGAGAAUGCUGCUACGGAUUUUGGUAGUUUUGGAAAUGUUCAGUACAAGAUUAUGAAG